UAGUCAAAGGAUAGUCGAAAGCUAGUAUCAAAAAAGUGUGUAUUUAGUUUUAGUUUGUAGAAACUAUUAAAAUGAUAAAAAUGGAUAUCGUACAAAAUCGUUAAAGACGCCAAUUUACGAUAAAAAUUAAGAAAUUGUUCAAUUUGAUUUUGUUAUAAAGGAAAAACCGACUUCUGCUAUGUCAAAAAAUUGUUACCGUUUGAUUAACAUCCCGACACCUCGUCAAGUUAUAUAAAAAAUACGCAAGUCGCGCGCGUGCUUUUUCGUGCUUGAACUCCCGGAGAGUGAACAUGGAAAAAGAUCUUAAAUAUAAGUUUGAUUGAAUUUCCGGCACCUUGACGUAUGCAUGGUAUCAGGUAUAUAAGAAACACGCGACUCGCGCGUGAGCUCUUUUGUGUCUGAACCCCCGUGCAGCGAAGAUCGAACAAGAACUUCUACGAAUUAAGUGUAACUAUUGAGCGUCUAUGGAUGGAAAGUAAUUCUUUGCGUCUACUCAAAGCCAAGGAAUCAACACCGUAUUCAUGGAAUUGAAGAAACAAGUGCGAUUUAAUCGGAAACAACGAGAUCUCAUCAUCCAUUUAUAGGUGCUACAAUUGAUAAGUCGUGUGCUUUGGUUUCUUCGAUGAUAAGUUCAAUAUUUAAAUAUGAUUUUGUGGAACCAUAUACUGUCUCUAUUGUAAUUAAUAAAUUUCAAUAUACGCUACUUCUUUGUUUUAAAAUAAUUUUACGUUUUCCCCUUCCGAUGCUUAAAAACUCUUUACCUAAAUGGGGGACGAGCAUAGUUACCUCUCUGUGGUGACUCCCGGUAGUUGGUAUCGUUUUCGAAAUAAUGAUACAUAAAGUACUAUUCUGAAUAUUAGAAAAUUAUUUUUGGAGAUCGAUGUGAAAUGUUAAAUAACUCAUGGGUGUGUCUCUUGCGCAGUCACCUGCGUGGUGAG